UACGUAGGGGGCUAGCGUUGUCCGGAAUCAUUGGGCGUAAAGCGCGUGUAGGCGGUCCGGUAAGUCCGCUGUGAAAGUCGGGGGCUCAACCCUCGAAUGCCGGUGGAUACUGUCGGGCUAGAGUGCGGAAGAGGCGAGUGGAAUUCCUGGUGUAGCGGUGAAAUGCGCAGAUAUCAGGAGGAACACCGAUGGCGAAGGCAGUGUCCUGGGGAGUACCUGACGCUCAGGUGCGAAAGCCAGGGGAGCGAACGGG
rnacentral:rRNA from 1 species